rnacentral:lncRNA from 1 species
AUUCCGGGGGCUCGCGGAGGGCGGUGGGUUGGGGUUGAGCUAAAGACCGCGGAGGGAAGCGGGAGUUAGCGCACGCGACGCUUGGGGAGCUGUGAGUGGAGGUUGGGGUAAAAAAGUUCCAGCCGGAAGGUGAAUCUGGGCUUGGCAGCUGCAAAGUUUUAGCCAAAGAAAGGGAAAGUGCUCUCCCAGCUGCUACCCCGCCACCUUCACCAGCCCCUCCCCAUUGCCACCACUGCUCGAGGAGUGUCUUAGAUACUGCAAGUCCUAGCUUGAGAGAAAACAAAAAGAUUGUUUUGACGGACAAAGUAUGAGUGCAGGUGUAUCUCACUUAGUGCAAUGUGUUCUAGAAAUGAUCUAUCAUGUUAACCGCACAGAGGUCUUGAUAUUGAAAGGAAAUUUGCAGCGAUUCCUUUUCAAUAAUUCCUUUUGUUUCCGGACACGUUGGUGCACACUUGUAAUCAUAGCAACUUGGGAAUUUGGCAGAAGGAUCGCAAAUUCUAGGCCAACCUCAGCAACUUAGCUAAGCCAUAAGCAGUUUAACAAAAUCCUGUCUCAAGAUGUGGCUCAGUGGUAGAGCACCGCUGGAUUUAAUCCCCAGUAUUAAAAAAAAAAAAAAAAAAAUUGUCCAAAAAAUCACCACAGAUUUCUUAAGUCUACCUUUUAUUUUUUUUUAAUUAGUGCAUGCUGCAGCAUUAAUUAUUAGAUAAUCAAAACUUGCAAAAUGGACCCACAUAUUUAAUGGUGUCCCCCAUCAGCCCGCCUCCAAGCCUACCAAAUUAAAAAUACAAGUUUGCAGCUUUCAAUUAUUUUUAAUUACCUUUAUUUUAAUUCAUAUGUCGGGCUGAGACACAAUGGAAGUGAAAUCGAGAAACAAUGUAAUUUGGAAAUACCAACUCCCCCAAAUAUCAAAUCCCAUGAUCAGUAUAACACUAUUAAACUAAAGUAGUUCUUGUUGCCACAUAUUAAUUAAUUGAUCCAUCAGUGAUAGAAAAAUCAGUCACCACCAAAUCAGAUUUCAGACCUUUUAAUUUUUAUGUAUUGGAAAGGGCUCUUGUCUAAACUACUCAUAAAUGUGCCUAACACCUUGCACAGUACCUGCACUUAGUAGGUACUCAAGAAUAAAUAAAUGCUAAUGUUACUGAGUGAAAGAAAAUAACUUGGCCCUAAUUUACCUUACUUCAUAACUAUAUUUCCCUGUGUAAGUUGUGUUAUUGUUUGCAUCAGAGGCUCUACUCUCUAAAUUUGCUGUGAUUUAUACUACCUUUAAUACCAAGUCUGCCUGUCAUCUGGAAUAAUUUUAUCUGCAUCUGUAUUUGCAAAAAUCUUACUGAUCCUUUACAUUCAGUUUCCUUCACUAUGAGAUCAUCUUUGACCUCAUCUUUGUCCGUCUCCCAGAUGGACAUGAUCUCAAGUUCUUCCAAACUCCAAUAGUGUUUUAUUCCUACCCAGCACCACAACCCUCUGGUAUAUUUAUAGCAGGGGAGGAAAGGUAUGUGUUUGUUGUUUUAUAUAAUUUGUGUGCAUUUCCUACCUCCCUUAAAAGAAAAUCCAUAAAUUCCCUAAGGGCAGAGACUAUAGUUGACCAGUGUAUUCUCCACAAACUACAACAUCUUAAAUACUGUAUUACUUAAUACUUAAUAAUUACUUAGUACUUAAAUACUGUAAAGAAGUUUUGUUUUUCCUGUGGUGCUGGGGAUCAUACCCAGGGCCUCAAGCUUGAUAGGCAAACACUGAACUGCAUCUGCAGCCCUACCGUCUGUGAUGAAUAAAUAUUUUCAAAUUACUAUCAAUUUUAAUUUAAAGAAAACAAACGACUUCAAUUUCCAGUCUAUUGCUUAACUCUCCACUAGACCAUACUUCAUUGGUGUUGUUUUAAAAAUUAGUAAUGGAUAAGAAACACAGUUUGUUAAAUAAUCUUAAUUCUUAUCUAGGAAAAUACUAGGAAAUGUUACACUGUAAUGUGCAUACAUUCAUAUUUAUUAUUCUUACAAUAUUUUUAUUCCAUGGACCUAAGGCUAUUUAAUGAAUACUCAAAGCAUAAAAUUGUUUCCCAGUAAAAUAUUCCCACAGGAAAUGACUGAUAACAAAGCUGCCAGUAAGAGUGUCUAUAAACACAAUUUGAUCUCUAUCUCAGAAAUUGUUUCCAUUCCAACUCUGUUGCAAAAUCUUUUCAUUCUUUGUAGUUAAUAGAGUUUUUAAAAACAUCAUAAGCUGCAUAUGUAUAUUUACAUAUAUAAAUAUGUCUAAGUUAAACGUCAUCCUUAAUUCAACUUGUUCAGGAGUUAUAAAACAUUAGUCAGUAUAAUAUACUAUGCAUUUUUCUAGGUAUUACUCAAAACCAAGUCUGAUGCAACACACCACACCUAAACUCAAUAUUACUUUAAAAUUGAGAAUGUUCUAUCACAUGAAUUCACAAUUUUAACAUUUUGAGUCACAACAAAUUAACAAGGCACUUGAGGUCAUGGAUACUAAUUUUAAAAAUAUAAAUCCCACUUUUCUAUGUGUGCAUUAAUUUCAAUAACAAGUUUGUGAAAGUAUAAUUCUAAGGAAAUAGUACUCACAGAACUUACAUUAUACAUAAUUCAGAAAGUAACAAAAUAUGAACAUAGCUAUACUUUCAAGAUCUUUCAUUUUAGCAAUUUAUGCCCUGUUCUCUCACAUAUCAAUUUUCUUAUCUUUCUAAUCAUCAGAUUACUAUGAAAAUUAGGGGAUAAGUAUACAUCUUCCUGUGUUUAUACUUGUUUUUCAAUGACUUGGAAAUCAUUUUGAUGCCCCACAAAUUAACAACUGUGUGUUGGCACUGUCACAAAAGAUAUAACAACUAUGGGAUAGUAGGGAUUCAGUAAGGCAGGGAGCCAAGCUGGGGGGGUUAAUACUGACUCAGUCUGGGUGAAGGGGGGAAAAAAGCAGGGCAGGUUGAGGCAGAAGGCUAAGUUUAACAGCAAUGGAAAGGAAGUGUCUAUGUAACAGUUAUUUUUAGGUCAUUUAGAGUGUGUUUGUCUCACUGGUGCUCAGUCUUCUGUUAUAUUCUUACUGGAACCAAAAGCAAGUUUCACUAUGGCAUUUGCCCAAUUCUUUUUCCCUAAUCUAUCUCACAAGCAGUUCCAUCAGUAAGGAGUAAAAGGUACAUUAGCCUAAACCAUCUACUAAACUGCCCUGAGAGUCAUGGCAUAUAUGGCAUGUUCUUCAUACAGCAAUUUUUACUGUUUCAUAAUUAACAAUUUGUGGCAAUUUAUAACUUAUUACUAUCUCCAGUCAAAGAGACUUUUCCUAUAUGUAUGCAUGUGAGUGCUCUAACAUUUAUAAAUGUACACUGUUUUAGAAUAUUCACAGAUAUUUCAGAUUCCCUAUCAUAUACAUGUGAUAUGUAGAGUAACUUGCUCAAGUUAACCAUAAUAAGGGAAGAAGAAUUCAAUCCUUUCUGUCUGAUACCAAAAUUACUACACCCCUGCAGCAUUUCCUUAAACAUAAAUAAAGACAAGGCAUUUGCUAUAAUAGUACUUGCACUGACUUGAACCUUUGUUUUUAUAAAUUAUUUAGUUGAUCACCUUCCCAGAAGUUUAAUAUUUUAUGAGCUUUUUGUCAAAUGUAUCUGAACAUUGGAAAGCUGCUUGUUGAACAUUUGAAUUUUUUCUCAAUGCAGUCCUCUUCAAGGCUAUUAGUACUAAGUUCUUUAUUUCCACUUAAUUGUAAAUCUAUUUUCAUUGAACCACAAUGUGGAAUUUCAUCCUGAUUGUAGGAUAAGCUAUAACUAAAUACUUCAAAGGGAAUAUAAAGGCAUCCCUUAUGACCUAAAGGUCUCAGAUAAACCUUUUUCAAGAACAGAAUAUAUGGGCUGGGUGCAUACCUAUAAUCUUAGCAACAUGGGAGGCUAAGACAGGAGGAUUAUAAAUUCAAGGCCAGACUCGGCAAUUUAGUGAGACUCUAUCUCAAAAUAAAAAUGACUAGGGAUGUAGCUCAGUGGUAAAGUACCCUAGGUUCACUCGCUAGUACAAAAAAAAAAAAAAAAGUAAAGGGAAAUUCAGCUCACCUUUAACUUACAUGAUUAAACCACCAGGUAACCAAAGAUGAUGAAAGGUAGUUGUUCUGUUUCAAAGUUAUUAAUCUCAUAAAUUAAGAUUUGGAAUGUCAUCGUUUUGCACUGUAAUGAAGUAAUGGGCCUAAUAAUGAAUCCAGACAAAAAUUGCCAGUGGCCAAUGUUAAAAGAGAGAGGCAACUUGACAUAUGCCUCUAAUCAAUACCAGCUAUGAUUUUAUUCAUUUUAGUGUUAUUACCAAAAAUGAAAUUGUUCAGUUUCAAGUUCUGAAGACCAAUUUCCAGGAAUUGCAAGAAACAGAAGAGCAUGAAAACACUAUAGGCAUGCAGUCAACAAAAUCCAACUGUAGGAAACUAUAUGAAAAAUACUCAUUUCUUCAACAGCCUAACUAAUUGCAAUUUAUAGACUUUAUUUAAAGCCUGAUCUGAACAAAACAUCUGUUAAAAAAAAUAAUCAGCCAAUCAGGAAGAUUUGAACACUGGCUAGCUAUUUGAUGAUAUUGAAAAUUGUUACAAUUUUAGAUUUUUUAAAAAAUGUCAUUUUUUAAAAAUGCUCUCACUUUUCUUCUCAUUACGCUGAGAUAAUAGAAAACACUCAGGAGAGAACUUUCUCAUCCUCCAUUACUGUACCUACUAACCAUCACUACCUGUGAAUUGAUAGUCCACUGUGACCUUCCUUCCCCAUUAAAAGAGAUGAGCUACCCCUAUCCCUGAGGCCAAAUCUCUGUCCUCUACUUCAUACCUCUCAAUUCAAAUUGCCAUCCAAUCCUACUGACUCCCUUGUUCCUCUAACACACCAAAUUCAUUCCUGCCUCACAGUCUAUGCAUUUGCUGUUCCAUCUGCCUGAAAUGAUUUCCUCAUGACCAUCCUCCCUCCAUCCAGGUCUUACCUCAAAUGUUACCUUCUCAUAGAGCCCCUCCCUGAUCACCCUCUCUAAAAUAAUACUUGUGACUCUUCUUGUUCAUGUGUUUUUCUUUAUUGAAUUUAUUUAUGUUACACAUUGUAUUUAUUUUCAUAAAUGUACUAUUUAACAUUAUAUUGGAUGUCUAUUUGCUUGUUUAUGUGACACCAUUGCCUCAGCUUAUAGAACACUUUUUUUUCUCAUGUAGAUGCUCCAUAUACAUUAAUUGAAUGAAAAUGUGAUUCUCAUGCCCAAGACAAGUUAUCACAUGUUUCCAUUUCCCCCAUAGUGAAAUUGGUUUGUCAUUGUUUCACAGGGUGUUGUUCAGAGGAUCAAAAGAGGUAACAGUCAAUACAGUCGAACCUUGAAAACAUGUGAAAGAGGUCAGACACAAAAGACCACAUGCUGUAUGAUUUCAUUUUUAUGAAGGAUCCAGAACAGGCAGAUACACAGAGAUAGAAAGUUGAUUAGUGGUUGCCAGCAGCGGUGGGAAGGGGAAGUUAAGAGUGAUUGCUAAAGAGCUUGUGGCUUAUUUCUAGGUGAUAAAAAUAUUCUGGAAUUAGAUGUGGGUGAUGAUUGUAAAUAUACUAGAACCUACUGAGUUUUAUAGUAUGUAUAUUAUAUCUCAAUACAAAAAAAAAAAAAAAGAUGUACUUUCUUGCCCUGUUGUCUUUUGCUAUACUCUCAAC